UGAAUACGAGACGCUAAGGCGUCGAAGUAGUGUAUGUCAUACUUCCAAGAAAAGCUUGCACUGUCAUAGAUAAAAAACGCCUGUACCAUAACCGACACAGGUGGGUAGGUAGAGUAUACUAAGGGGCGCGAGAUAACUCUCUCUAAGGAACUCGGCAAAAUAACUCCGUAACUUCGGGAGAAGGAGUGCCUUAUUCGUAAGGCUGCAAUAACAAGAUCCAAGCAACUGUUUAUCAAAAACACAGGUCUCCGCUAAGUCGUAAGACGAUGUAUGGGGGCUGACGCCUGCCCAGUGCCAGAAGGUUAAAGAAGUUGGUUAGCAUUUGCGAAGCUGAUAACUGAAGCCCUGGUGAACGGCGGCCGUAACAAUAACGGUCCUAAGGUAGCGAAAUUCCUUGUCGGGUAAGUUCCGACCCGCACGAAAGGCGUAAUGAUUUGGAUACUGUCUCGGAGAGGGGCUCGGUGAAAUAGACUUGUCUGUGAAGAUGCGGACUACCUGCACCAGGACAGAAAGACCCUAUGAAGCUUUACUGUAACUUGAAAUUGAAAUUGGACUUUAUUCGCGCAGUAUAGGUGGGAGGCGUUGAUUAUAAUCUUGCGGGAUUAUUGGAGCCAUCAGUGAGAUACCACUCUCGUAAUGUUAGAUUUCUAACUUUGUAUCAUUAUCUGGUCAAAGAACAGUUUCAGGCGGGCAGUUUGACUGGGGCGGUCGCCUCCCAAACGGUAACGGAGGCGUACAAAGGUUUCCUCUGAACGGUUAGAAAUCGUAUCUAGAGUGUAAAGGCAUAAGGAAGCUUGACUGUGAGACCUACAAGUCGAGCAGGGACGAAAGUCGGUCUUAGUGAUCUGACGGUACUGAGUGGAAAGGCCGUCACUCAACGGAUAGAAGUUACUCUAGGAUAACAGGCUGAUCUCCCCCAAGAGUUCACAUCGACGGGGAGGUUUGGCACCUCGAUGUCGGCUCAUCGCAUCCUGGGGCGGUAGUACGUCCCAAGGGUUGGGCUGUUCGCCCAUGAAAGCGGUACGCGAGCUGGGUUCAGAACGUCGUAGACAGUUCGGUCCAUAUCCGGUGUAGGCGUUAGAAUAUUGAGAGGAGCCUUCUUUAGUACGAGAGGACCGAGAAGGACAUACCUCUGGUGUACCAGUUAUCGUGCCAACGGUAAACGCUGGGUAGCUAUGUAUGGAGUGGAUAACCGCUGAAAGCAUCUAAGUGGGAAGCCCACCUCAAGAUAAGUAUUCUCAU
rnacentral:rRNA from 1 species